AGUGUGUGUGUGUGUGUGUGUGUGUGUGUGUGUGUGUGUGUGUGUGUGUGUGUGUGUGUGUGUGUGUGUGUUGGUUUUUGUGGUUUACGAGGACUUUUGACCUGAAUACGCACCGGCAUUACGGGGACAUUUGGGUUUAUGAGGACACAGGCCAUGUCCUUGUAAUUCCGGCAAUGUAGAUGCCUUUCUCUAUGUCCCAGAAGCACCCUCUCCAAUUUUCGCGGCAUGUCCUUAUAUACCACAAAAACCUGAUUUUAUACCAUACACUGUGUAUCCUCUGUGUACGAGAGUGCGCCCCUGCAGCCGGGUCCUGGUACUGUACCGGCGUCAUCGAAAAUUUGCAUUUUUCACACAAGUGUAAGUAUUGAGGCCUGUGAUUGGUCAGAUCGGUACUGGUAGGCGGGAAAUCACGAAAACAAGAUGGCGCCGACGGGCGGAGUCUAAUUCCGCAGCCCCUAUUGGCUGCAUACGCAAUGAACAACAAGCGAGACAAGAUGGCGCCGGUGGGCGGAGCCUCAUUCAGCUUCAGCGUAGAGUCAUGCUUCAAGUUCAUUUCCUGUUUGGACCGGAUAGAAACUCUGCACCUGAGAAGACAUCUGAGCACCUGAUGGAGGCUGCUGUUAUUUUAAAGAAGAUGACAGAAGACACAUCAGAUCAUGCUGAAGUGAAACAGUGAUGGAGAAAGCCCAAGCUCUGGAGGAAGACAUACAGUAUUCACAAAGAUUCAUCAGUGAUUUCACCUGUGUCAGAUGGUAACUGAGAAGAAUCAGAUUCAGAAGAAUAAGAUACAGCAACAAUAAAGGCGCCGCAUGCAAUGUUUUUGUCA